AAAUGAUUUACACGUUUAACUACAUUUUUAGCUUGCCGCUUAUUAAGUCUUAAACCCUUAAAAGAUGAGAUUAAAAAAUUGCUUGGGGUAAUAUAUUUUACAUGAAAUAAAUGGCUCAAAAACAACUGCAAAAGAAGCACAUCCAAUGGCCUCUACUUAGAAUUGCUAAAGGAGUUCCAUUCUGUGGUUUAAAAUUGUCCACCAUUUUUAUUUUGCAGCUUUUACCCAGAGCUUCGGAACUAUAUGUUUUCCUUAAUUAUUCCUACAAUGGGAAUAGGAAUAAGGAUACAAACACACCCUUACACACUUACGCAGAAUGCUCACAUUGGACUUUGCUAAUUCAUGCAAAACAUGUCCCCAAGGCUUCCUUUUUCUGGUCUCUUCUUUUUCCACAGCACAGCUCCGGAAGUGGUCAAUAGAUUGUCUCCCUGUGAAGGCCAUGACUCUAGUCGAAAAAAGACUUCAACCAGGAGUAGAUAUUUAUUUUCUUUGUGCCUAAGGAAUACAUGCUCAUUAAUUUGAAAAAAAGUUUUAUUUUAGCAUCGUGAUUCAUUACAGUGAUAAUAGUAAUAAUAACACUACUUAUAAAAAUUAGCUAUGUCAACAAACUCAUCAGCAUGUAUAUAUUAAAUACUUCUGCUAAAAAAUUGGCUAUGCCAACCAACUAAUCAGUAUCUGUAUAUUAAAUACUGAACCAUGUUAUAACACCACCUUGUUAUGGACAAAAAUAAGUCAUUACUUAUAUUAAACUCAUUAAGGCCAUAAAAAAAUGGCAAAGAAAACGGGCAAGUACAUUCUCAAAACGGCUAAAAUUUAAGUAUUCACUAUGUGGCAAGCACUAUGUCAAAUGUUUUAUGUAUUAGCUCAUUUAAUCUUCAUCACAAUUUUGGAACGUACAUACUAUUAUUCUCCCAUUUUAGAGAUGAAGAAGGUGGAGUCACAGAGAGAUUAAGUAAUUUGCCCAGCUGUCAUGGCAGGUCACAGCGUCCAGAUCUGUACCGGGCAGGCUGCCUUCAGUGCUAGAACUUUACCAUUAAGCUAUGCUGCUGCCCGGUGACUCCACCGAAGCACAAAUACUAACCCAGGAGAGAAAUCAGGGGUCAUUUACUCGAGUUCUUUUAAAGAUACACAGCCGUCAUUUUCCCAGGCCCGUGGAUGAAAGUAACGUCACAAAACAGUACAGGUGGGCAGUGUAUUUGCCACACCAAGAGCGGAAAGGGGGCAAUAGCUGUCAGACUUCACACAUUCUGGUCCCACCAACAAGGCCGUGUCUAUGGGAGACAGACGCAUCAGAUCCAGAUGCUCUUCAACAGUUGUCACCCAGCAACCUCCUGAUUAUCAUCUGGCUUUUCAUGUCAGUCUUCCCAAAGGACGAGAAUGUUCUGAGUGCAGGGAUGUGAGUCUUCGGAUCCUGGAGAUGGUAACGUCUUCUUACAAAUGAACAGACUGAUGUUUAUCUACACACGCCCUGCCGCAAGAAUUGACAUCACAUCCUACAUGAGAUGUAAGGGGAAGCUAGAGGGCUGGGUGAGCAGCACACCCCUGGUUGUACUCAAAGUCUCUCCCUCUCCUGACCCUCUCAUGAGCUUGGAUCAUGCCACUGUGCCUUAGACUAGAGAGUCCCCAGGAGGCUCCAUCUUCCUUCAAACACACAGACCUUGGUGGACCACUCUCGAGUUUCCAACCCAUGUCCACCAGCACAUCGCCCCCCCUAAGUGGGUCAUAGUCUCAACAAAUCCUGAAAACAACACUAACAAUAACUAUAUCAAAACCCUGGCACGGCUGUGAUGAGGAAACUGAAGCUCAGAGAGUUUAGGUGACAGUCAGCGAGACACAGCUGGUGCUAAGCAGGACCAAACCCGAGGUUCCUGGUUCCCGGUUCUGUGCUGCCUCCUAGUGGUCCACUGGUAAUGGCCCUACUUCCAAAGGCGCCAAGACAGAAAAGAAAUGUUCUCUUCCUCCCUUCCUUCCCUCGGGAGAUGAAUCUGGUGAGUUCUGUUCAUCUUCUCAGAGGGCAGAGGCCUUCAGUUUCAUCUCCCUUUCCAGUGGCCUGAUUGUCCACGGUGGAGAGACCAGGAAGUUUUUGGGUCAUGCUG
ensembl:lncRNA